CACAUUUGGAAUUUCAUCCUAAAACACCAAUCUGAUGCCAUUUUCCUUAAUUGCUUCAAAUCCUACCUUAUCAUCAAAUAAUGAAAAUGUGCAGCUGUCCAAAAGAUAAGCUGUCCAAAAGUUUUGAAAAUACAGCAAAAUAAAAUCCACAAAGAAGACCAUGUACCUUCAAGGAAACAUGACAGCACAAAGUAGUCCAUGGGUCUGAUUAGAUGACUGACUAUUCAUAUGAAAACAAAAAGAAGCAGAGGAACCCCAAAGCAAUGCUGAAAGAGGCAUAUGGCUGUCUGCUAUAGGAAAUGGGAUACUGGAUCCAGCAGGCCUUUUGUGAUGACCUUACAUAAUCUUUCUAUGGGCCAAAACAGAUGGCCCCAAAACACCUGACUGAUGUCGCUACAGGGCCACAAACCAUGGGGCUGCAGCAAAACCACACCACACACCCCAAUCCAGUGUCUUCCCAGCAGGAAGCAGCAGAAAUCUGAUCCUUUUUGCACUGGGAAAAAGGUACCUUUACCACCCCAGCAGUGGGUUUUUGGAGCUGCAGCAGCAUGCACCAUCUAAAUGCCAUGCUACCAGAGUGCUGAAAAACUGCCCCCAUGUGAGCAGCAGUGGGGGCUUCAUGGUGUGUUUCCGGCAUCUUGGCGGCAUGCAUCAUGUGUAUACCAAGCCCCCAAGAUGCCAAGAAGAUGCUGCAUUUUGCCAGUCUGUUUUCCCCCUAAGUCCCUAGUCAAUCUGCUGAAUUCUCUAUCAGUUCAUUUUCUAUCAAAAAUUCCCAGAAUUCACAUUAUCUUCAUAUUUUAGAUAGAAAGAAUGUGAGGGGUUUGUUUUGCUUUUUAAACAACUGGGACUUCCAGUACUAUGGCAGAAGUGAUGGUCGCUGUUUCAAACCGGUCCUAAAUUGGACAACCUGCCACGGAAUGGAUCUUUCCAAGUAACACCAGGAGCAGGUGAAUAUGUCCCCCUGACAAAGGGGAACCGAGGGAUCCCUAUUUUUGUUCCUCACCUCUCAGACAUAGGACAGGAAUUAUUUCAACCCUGGGAACAGAGUUUGCAGUUACCUGUUGUGAUGUUUGAAAUCCCAGUAGUCCCACUUCCACUUAGCCCAUCAAGUAAGCAUCUGGUAUGACAACUCGUAUCUAGCCCUAAUUACUAACACAGAGCUCUGUGCCAGAACUUCUGAGCCUCUUUUAAAAUGUCCUCUUUAAACAUAUAACUUUCUCUCUCUAAGUUUUACUUCUUCCUCUUUUUAUGAUCCUCUCAUAAAAGGCAAAAAGCAGUUCUUUGUUCACAAAACUCCAAAGGAAAUGUUCACACAAAGAGAUGAAACUGCAGAGCAGCUGAACUCAUCUGUGCUCUGCCAGUUCUGCCCCCAAAAUGCAGCGGGUUCAGUGAAUUUCCACCUAUCAAAAUAUCUCCUUGAAGUUCUUUAUAAUUGGUCCCCUAAUUAUCCUUGACCAUCUUGUUAGACCGUGGACUAAUAGAUCCUAUUUUUAAGAGGCAGGCCAUCUAAGCCAAGUUAAAUUGGAUGAGACUUAAAAUUAAAUAGGAAAAAUAAGUCAUUAAAAUAGUGCAGCUCUAAUAUUCCAAAUGAAUAUUACUUCUGUCAAAUUAUUUAUUUAAGUGUAUUUAUUUAAAAUAUUUAACUAGGAAUUUGCCACUAAACCUAGAGGAAUUGCACACAUUUAGCCUAGAGCAAUGACAACAUUCAAAUACCUCACAGGCAAUGUUUCAAAUGAAGAAAGAGAGAACUAAGAAUAUUGGAUGUUAGAGCUAGACUGACAAGCAAAGAGUGUGUGAAUCUGCAGAGUACAUACUCUGUCAUCACCAAAAAACUCAACCCCUUCAUGUUAGGCCCUUUCUAUGCCUAGAUUUGGGUAGAUAGCACAUUUUGCAUUAUGUGACUGAGAUUUGACUGUUCCCUGUCACCAUGGUUCAUCCUUAUCUUGAAUCAUUUUAAUCAGGAAAUUAAUCAGGAAAUUUAAUCAGAAAAAUCGAAUACUCAUUUUGGUUAAUAAGGCAGAUGCGAGACUAGUAUAGAAUCAUAGAGUUGGAAGGGGCACCAUGGGGCAUCAGGUCCAAACUCCUGCUUAGUACAAGAUCUCCAGUUAGCAUAUUCUCAGUCUCAGAAGAUAGCUAUCCAGCCUCUUUUUGAAGACAUGCAGAAGAGACCUCACCAGCACUCUGGGCAAUUGAUUCCAAGCCAAACUGCUCUCACUGGCAAUAUGUUCCUUCUAAUAUUAAAUCAAAAACUACUCUCCUGUAACUUAAAACCAUAAGACCUAGUGGUACCCUCUGAGGCAACAGAGAACAAGCUUGCAUAAAGAGUAAUAGCAAAAAAAAAAUAUGAGAAGUUUCCUUGAUUUUUCCUAUCUAACUUAAUAUAUAUUAAACUGGAAUGAGAGCAAAAUGCUGGCUUAGAAAUGUAGAUACAAGGCAAGAACUGCAGCAGAUUAUAUUUUACCAACACAAGAUAAAGCUACAAAAUAACAAGGCUACUUAUUGUUCCAAGGCUGUCUAUAUUCUUUAUGCAUCAUGACCAGUCACCUUACCCUCUUAGAAAUAUCAAAAGUGGGUUGCUUGGAGGAGAAAAGGAGGAAAUCAUUUAUUUGCAAAGAACAGAAAUAAAUUACACAGAGCUGUCAGUGUUGGUUUUUUUUAAUGAGCCAAUUACAGCACUACUUAGCACAAAAAGAAACUGGGAAGCAGCAACAUGGACAGAAUUAAUCAUAGAUGCAUUUGACCACUAUGCUUAUAAUGAGUAUUUGAAUACCCUUUUAAGGGGUGUUGGGGGAAGGGAAACAAGACAAAAAUGAUAUAUUAAAAAGCCAGUUCUUGUAAUAGGAUUAUUAUUUCCUGCUCUGUAAUUAAUUUUAGACAUUAAAGACUACAUCACCAAGUAGAUACUUUGUUGGGGUAUAACAACUCUGGGAUGAAGACAUUUUUUCCAACAAUUCCUUCUAGUUCUGUUCAACACAGAGAUGUACUGGUAUUUGUUUCUCCUAAACCAGUGAAUAUAUACAAAGAAGAUAGUGCCAGUGAAAAAUAGGUAAACUUCUUCCUUCUGGACAGAGACCCCAUUAGCAUGGCACAGUAAACAGGAAAUUAGUAUCUGUUAACAAGGGUUCAUAAUUCAGACCCUGCAGCUCCUGACAUCAGGUUUCCUACAACACACCAGUGCAUAUCCAAGACAUUUUGCUACUUGGAGUGGGGGAGAUAACAGCAUCCCUGACUACGGUUGCCAGGUCAGGACUAGUCCAGGCCCUGAAAUCUAAAACCUGGGACCUAGGGAUAACACCUCAUGAUGCUACUGGACGGUAGGCUGUGACAGUAUUGCAAGAAUGAUAAUGCAAGGGACAGCCCCUAGUAUCAUUUAAGCAUUGUACAUUAGGCAUCAACUACAAUUGCCAUUCAAAUCUACAGCACCCAAGUCUAACAAAUGAAGAAAAUACACACACACUUUUCAAGACAGCAUUCAAACCACUACACCUCCCUCUUCCCCUGGGGAUCAGACAAGAGGGUCCAGACAAAAGGGUCCAGAUGGGAGGACUCUAACCCUCACUUACACUUCAACAAAUAUCAAUAUACCCAGUACUGAAAACCAACUAAAUUAUUCUGGCACAGGCGACAGAAAAUUCCCCUAAGAGUGUUAGUUUAUUGUAGUCUCAUUCAGCAAUCAUACAGGUAUUCAUUAAAUUUUGGUAGACUAUAUUCUUUCUUUGCAGUGGAGCAUAUACUCCAACUAUGAAGUACAGUAUUCAACAAAAUUUCAAUAAAGGGUUCAUGAUCUGAUUCCUCCUCCUCAGGAACCAGCCAAGAACCCUAGGACUACUUCCCUUUGCAAAUAGGUCUCUGGUUACUCAUGAGGGUACAGCAUUUCAUUCAUUAAAAUGUGCACUCUUCUCUGGGGAAAAGACUGCUAACAGGGCAACCAUUUAGUCUUUCACAGAUGUGUCAUGAGUUAGCAUACCUGCAGGCUUAGUUCUUAGCAAGCUGCAUACAUACAACUGACACAUGGCCUUUCUUAAUGGGUCAAAUCACUCCCUGUCCACAGUUCUGACUGUCUCCACAACUUAAAUGCCCAUUCUGUCACUAUCACAUGGGAUAGAAUUCCAUUUUCCCCCCAGGAGAUUCCAUGUCUUGCAGAUUAUUUCUGUAGUAGCUUCAUUAUGACCCUUCCCUAUUUAUUCUCUGGAUUUUUUUUCAACUGGAAGGGGGCAACUUUGUGUUUAAUGGCAGGUGAGAUCUGUUGGGACUCUUCCUGGCAUAGCUGAGGGACCUGUAUCCCUAGAGCUGCCUCUUGGGGCACUUGCAUGAUUCAGCUGGGUGCAUUGGGGCCAGAAUAGCCUCUAGAAAGGCAAGGACAACAUCAGCAACCCUGAUAGUUUCAACAGCACCUUGUUGUGCUGUAAAUCUAUCUCUUAAGUCCUUAAUGGUAGCCUCACAUGCAUCAUUCAUGACUGACAUUAGCCUGGGAACCCAAGAACACAGCAGUAGAGUUUGCCUCCUUCUUCUUUUCCUUCUUACACUCCUCCAGUUUCUUCUCUCACUCCCAAAGCAACCUAUGCUAACCUCGUUCUUAUGCCUCAAUUCCUGGAGCUGAACCUGAAGGCCUGCAAUAAGUGCUUCCUGCUCUUCAUUAAUGUCCAAAACACACUGCAGAAAUAAUCCAGUUUGAGACCGCUUUAACUGCCCUGGCUCAAUGCUAGGGAAUCCUGGGAAUUGUAGUUUUAUUGUGGCCCCAAAGCUCUCUGACAGAGA